GCUCCUGUCGUCUAGCAGUGAGGACGCUUCCCUUUCACGGAGGUAACGUACGUGCAAUUCGUGCCAGGAGUGA
rnacentral:tRNA from 1 species